GUUUGGUGGUGAUUGCCUGGAGUGCUGGGGCUAGUCUGGGUUCUGCAGGAAAAAAGGGUCUUGCUGUGUCCCUAGGCUGGAGUGCAGUGGUGCAGUCUCAAUUAUGCCAGAUGGCUCUGAGGUCCAAGUAAAAGAUAAUAUUUGCAACCAACUCACUGGAGUUGACCAUCAAAACUCUUUUCCAGGUGGAAAAGCACCCUGAAUCCAGCUUCCUGCUAUGAAUGAAUACUGAGCUUGGGUUGGUGGAAAUUGAUUUUCGAGAUAAAGAAUCCAGCCAGGACUGUGAAGCCCCAGGGAAUGGCUGCACUUCAAGUCAGAAGGAGCCUGGGUCCCUGAAUCAUCAUGUGGAAGGCUCUCCACCCAGUUCAAUGGUGCAAUGGACCACAAGCAGGAACUUAAUUUAGAAUGUGCUUAUUUUGUUAGAUUUUGUAAUUAAAAAAUGGAUCCCACUCUGACUGAAUCAGAGAUGUUGAAGUCAUUGAUCUGGGAGGGUAUGUUCCUGGGAGUGGGUGGCUGAGGUGAGAUUUCAAACAAG
rnacentral:lncRNA from 1 species